rnacentral:sRNA from 1 species
GCCACGCCCGAAGUCGUUACCCCAACCGAAAGGAGGGGGAUGCCUAAGGUAGGACUGGUGACUGGGGUGAAGUCGUAACAAGGUAGCCGUACCGGAAGGUGUGGCUGGAUCACCUCCUUUUUAGGGAGACCUACCCAUUUAGAUAUCGAAAGCAAUGAGUAAAUAGAUACUAAACUGGUCUACUCUAGGUCGGUCGAGAUUGGUUAGUUCUCUUUCAAAGUAUUAUUAAAGCUCUGGUCAAAUUCAGCAACUAGGUAAACCCUAGACUGCUGGGUAAAUACCAGCCAGAACCUUGAAAACUGCAUAGUAACGCGAGGCAGUUCAGUAAUCUAGUGCUUUAGCAGCAGAUAACUGAAAUGAAAAAAACCAAUGUCAAGUGGUCAAGCUAAUAAGGGCUAAUGGUGGAUACCUAGGCACACAGAGG